rnacentral:rRNA from 1 species
UGCCAGCCGCCGCGGUAAUACCGGCGGUCCGAGUCGCAAUCAUUUUUAUUGGGUCUAAAACAUCCGUAGCUUGUGUGGUCAGUCUCUUGUGAAAUCCUAUGUCUUAAGCAUAGAACUGCGAGAGAUACUGCCAUGCUAGAGACCGGGAGGGGUAAGGAGUACGAUUAGAGUAGCGGUUAAAUGCGUUGAUCCUUUUCGGACUAUCGAUAGCGAAGGCACCUUACCAGAACGGAUCUGACAGUCAGGGAUGAAGGCUAGGGGCGCAAAACGGAUUAGAUA